rnacentral:rRNA from 1 species
UACGAAGGGGACUAGCGUUGUUCGGAAUUACUGGGCGUAAAGCGCACGUAGGCGGAUUUGUAAGUCAGGGGUGAAAUCCCGGGGCUCAACCUCGGAACUGCCUUUGAUACUGCGGAUCUCGAGUCCGAUAGAGGUGGGUGGAAUUCCUAGUGUAGAGGUGAAAUUCGUAGAUAUUAGGAAGAACACCGGUGGCGAAGGCGGCCCACUGGAUCGGUACUGACGCUGAGGUGCGAAAGCGUGGGGAGCAAACAGG